AGCUCCAAUAGCGUAUAUUUAAGUUGUUGCAGUUAAAAAGCUCGUAGUUGGAUUUCGGGCGUGGAGGUUCGGUCCGCCGUUUCGGUGUGCACUGUCUGUCUGCGUCUUUCUGCCGGGGACGCGCUUCUGGCCUUAAUUGGCUGGGACGUGGAUUCGGCGAUGUUACUUUGAAAAAAUUAGAGUGUUCAAAGCAAGCUAAAGCUCUGAAUACAUUAGCAUGGAAUAACGCGAGAGGACUCGGUCCUUAUUUUGUUGGUCUUCAAGGAUUGAGUAAUGAUUAAGAGGGACAGUUGGGGGCAUUCGUAUUUCAUUGUCAGAGGUGAAAUUCUUGGAUUUAUGAAAGACGAACUUCUGCGAAAGCAUUUGCCAAGGAUGUUU
rnacentral:rRNA from 1 species